UACGUAGGGGGCGAGCGUUGUCCGGAGUUACUGGGCGUAAAGCGCACGCAGGCGGUCUGCUAAGUUUGGAGUGACAGUUGGUGGCUUAACUGCCAAAGUGCUUCGAAAACUGACAGACUUGAGGGCUUCAGAGGGACACGGAAUUCCGGGUGGAGUGGUGAAAUGCGUAGAGAAUCCGGAGGAACACCAAAGGCGAAGGCAGUGUCCUGGGGAGUACCUGACGCUCAGGUGCGAAAGCCAGGGGAGCGAACGGG
rnacentral:rRNA from 1 species